GUGUUUUGGUGCAAUAAUUCCCCCUGCGCUACGGGAAGCCCCGUUCGGUUCCUUUUUGACCUCCCUGUCGUUGCAUGUACAGACCAAAUGACCAACAGCGUGGUUGUGUUUUGGGGAAGACAUUUCACCACUUUUUCUUUCCAGCCCCCUCCCUGACCCCCCCCUGACCUCAGACCGCUUCUCCUUGGGGUCCCACCACCUCUGUUCCAGGUGCCACCUGCCCUCCCCGUGCUGGGAGCCUGUCCAUGCAGUAUUCCACGAGCAGUGUGGGGCACGCACAGCUUGCACUCGAACUGGGGAUUGGUUUUUUUUUUUUUUUAAUUAAUGUACUUGAAGGCUUUCCGAGCCCCCCGUGGAGUUGUACCGUUGCUGUACUGUGAGCUAAGUGUCCUUGUUUUCUAUGUGGAUCUUGAACCCUGGCUUGCUCUGUCUCACUGGGCUGGAUGACACUGUAUGUUGCCUCUUUUCUCCUUCACCCUUUCCCUCCCUGCUAGCCUCCCUUUCUUCUCCCAAAGCUUUGGGUGCAAAACAGCUUCCCAUUUUGUGGAAUUUUUAUGUAGAAUAAACAUUUGUAACUGUAAA